GAUGAACGCUGGCGGCGUGCCUAAUACAUGCCAGUCGAGCGAACAGACGAGGAGCUUGCUCCUCUGACGUUAGCGGCGGACGGGUGAGUAACACGUGGAUAACCUACCUCUAAGACUGGGAUAACUUCGGGAAACCGGAGCUAAUACCGGAUAAUAUAUUGAACCGCAUGGUUCAAUAGUGAAAGACGGUUUUGCCGUCACUUAUAGAUGGUUCCGCGCCGCAUUAGCUAGUUGGUAAGGUAACGGCUUACCAAGGCGACGAUGCGUAGCCGACCUGAGAGGGUGAUCGGCCACACUGGAACUGAGACACGGUCCAGACUCCUACGGGAGGCAGCAGUAGGGAAUCUUCCGCAAUGGGCGAAAGCCUGACGGAGCAACGCCGCGUGAGUGAUGAAGGUCUUCGGAUCGUAAAACUCUGUUAUUAGGGAAGAACAAAUGUGUAAGUAACUAUGCACGUCUUGACGGUACCUAAUCAGAAAGCCACGGCUAACUACGUG
rnacentral:rRNA from 1 species